rnacentral:rRNA from 1 species
AACGAACGCUGGCGGCGUGCUUAACACAUGCAAGUCGAGCGGUAAGGCCCUUUCGGGGUACGACGAGCGGCGAACGGGUGAGUAACACGUGGGUGGACCUGCCCUCCAGCUCUGGGAUAAGCCUGGGAAACCGGGUCUAUACUGGAUAUGACUCCAUGACGCAUGUUGUGGGGUGGAAAGCCUUGUGCGGCUGAGGAUGGGCCCGCGGCCUAUCAGCUUGUUGGU